AGGGAAUCUUCCACAAUGGGCGCAAGCCUGAUGGAGCAACGCCGCGUGUGUGAUGAAGGCUUUCGGGUCGUAAAGCACUGUUGUAUGGGAAGAAAUGCUAAAAUAGGGAAUGAUUUUAGUUUGACGGUACCAUACCAGAAAGGGACGGCUAAAUACGUGCCAGCAGCCGCGGUAAUACGUAUGUCCCGAGCGUUAUCCGGAUUUAUUGGGCGUAAAGCGAGCGCAGACGGUUGAUUAAGUCUGAUGUGAAAGCCCGGAGCUCAACUCCGGAAUGGCAUUGGAAACUGGUUAACUUGAGUGUUGUAGAGGUAAGUGGAACUCCAUGUGUAGCGGUGGAAUGCGUAGAUAUAUGGAAGAACACCAGUGGCGAAGGCGGCUUACUGGACAACAACUGACGUUGAGGCUCGAAAGUGUGGGUAGCAAACAGGAUUAGAUACCCUGGUAGUCCACACCGUAAACGAUGAAUACUAGGUGUUAGGAGGUUUCCGCCUCUUAGUGCCGAAGCUAACGCAUUAAGUAUUCCGCCUGGGGAGUACGACCGCAAGGUUGAAACUCAAAGGAAUUGACGGGGACCCGCACAAGCGGUGGAGCAUGUGGUUUAAUUCGAAGCAACGCGAAGAACCUUACCAGGUCUUGACAUCCUUUGAAGCUUUUAGAGAUAGAAGUGUUCUCUUCGGAGACAAAGUGACAGGUGGUGCAUGGUCGUCGUCAGCUCGUGUCGUGAGAUGUUGGGUUAAGUC
rnacentral:rRNA from 1 species